UCCUCAAUGGUCUAGUGGUCAUGAUUUCCGCUUGUCAUCAAACAAGCCGCGGGAGACCAGGGUUCGAUUCCCUGUUGGGGAG